UGUACGAUUUAGGGCCAGAUCUGGCCAUGGCGGCACUGCGGUGGAGAGGAGGCAGAUGAGCUUCCUCAUCGGCGCCUCGGCGAGAUCUCCCGAGGUAUCUUCUUAAGCCGUUUGAGGAUCUCAUGUUAGCCGCUCAAGAAGAGGCCGCUCACGCCCGACUGCCUGAGGUAGCUCUAUGUUGAUUUCGUUCCCUUGGAGAUGCUCACCUCAAGUUAGCCUUUGCCUGCUGGCAGCGCCUGGGUAGCGGCAUUCUUUGAUCGGUCCAGAGCGCCUGGGCAGCAGUCCCGAGCGGCCAAGAUGACCAAAUUGAAGACGUUCGUAGGCCACAACUCAGUCGCUUCCAGAUUUUUCUCCAUAGUGUGACGAUGGAGACGCCGAUCUCAAAUAACAGCUCUCAAAGAAGAGCAGGAGCUGAUUGGCAACCGAAAGAGUUCAUCAGGUUUUCUCAAUGUACCAUGCAGUCUUCUCACUGGACAGGAGCGCAACGAGAUCGAGGGAGCACAGCGAUGACUGUCGAGAUGGCGGACAUCACGAGUGUGCCGUCAUUGACGAGAUCCA